CAUGAGUUCACUAUUUUAAUGAGUGCCAAGUGAAAGUAAGAGUUAAUUGCACACCAAUCCAAAAUCCCUAUCUUUGGAUAGUGCGCAAAUAAAUCUUUUCUACGCCCAGGAGUAGUGGGAGUUUGAGUGCUUGGCUUACUUUUGGAUAUUUUAACGAGUGCUGAAACAAUGCCAUCUAACAGUAAAUUACCUUGUGAGCACAAUAUGUACUGACAUCCUAUCAUGGUGUGGGCACUGUGACUGAACUGUAAUAAUUAAGACAUAGUUUCACACCCUGAACAAAUGAUGGCAUAACAGUGAAUUAUAAUGGAGAGCUAUAGUUACAUAGUUACAUAGCUGAAAAGAGACUUGCGUCCAUCAAGUUCAGC